rnacentral:rRNA from 1 species
UACAGAGGUCUCAAGCGUUGUUCGGAUUCAUUGGGCGUAAAGGGUGCGUAGGUGGCGUGGUAAGUCAGGUGUGAAAUCUCGGAGCUCAACUCCGAAACUGCACUUGAUACUGCCUUGCUCGAGUACUGGAGAGGAGAUUGGAAUUUACGGUGUAGCAGUGAAAUGCGUAGAUAUCGUAAGGAAGACCAGUGGCGAAGGCGAAUCUCUGGACAGUUACUGACACUGAGGCACGAAGGCCAGGGGAGCAAACAGG